UGUUGAUCCUGGCUCAGAUUGAACGCUGGCGGCAUGCCUUACACAUGCAAGUCGAACGGCAGCACGGGGGCAACCCUGGUGGCGAGUGGCGAACGGGUGAGUAAUACAUCGGAACGUGUCCUGUAGUGGGGGAUAGCCCGGCGAAAGCCGGAUUAAUACCGCAUACGAUCUACGGAAGAAAGCGGGGGAUCGCAAGACCUCGCGCUAUAGGGGCGGCCGAUGGCAGAUUAGCUAGUUGGUGGGGUAAAGGCCUACCAAGGCGACGAUCUGUAGCUGGUCUGAGAGGACGACCAGCCACACUGGGACUGAGACACGGCCCAGACUCCUACGGGAGGCAGCAGUGGGGAAUUUUGGACAAUGGGGGAAACCCUGAUCCAGCAAUGCCGCGUGUGUGAAGAAGGCCUUCGGGUUGUAAAGCACUUUUGUCCGGAAAGAAAACUUCUGCCCUAAUACGGCGGGAGGAUGACGGUACCGGAAGCAAUAAGCACCGGC
rnacentral:rRNA from 1 species